rnacentral:rRNA from 1 species
UAGGGAAUCUUCCACAAUGGACGCAAGUCUGAUGGAGCAACGCCGCGUGAGUGAAGAAGGUUUUCGGACCGUAAAGCUCUGUUGUUGGUGAAGAAGGAUAGAGGUAGUAACUGGCCUUUAUUUGACGGUAAUCAACCAGAAAGUCACGGCUAACUACGUGCCAGCAGCCGCGGUAAUACGUAGGUGGCAAGCGUUGUCCGGAUUUAUUGGGCGUAAAGCGAGCGCAGGCGGAAGAAUAAGUCUGAUGUGAAAGCCCUCGGCUUAACCGAGGAAUUGCAUCGGAAACUGUUUUCUUGAGUGCAGAAGAGGAGAGUAGAACUCCAUGUGUAGCGGUGGAAUGCGUAGAUAUAUGGAAGAAUACCAGUGGCGAAGGCGGCUCUCUGGUCUGCAACUGACGCUGAGGCUCGAAAGCAUGGGUAGCGAACAGGAUUAGAUACCCUGGUAGUCCAUGCCGUAAACGAUGAGUGCUAAGUGUUGGGAGG